rnacentral:tRNA from 1 species
UGCCCCGUGGCUGAGUUGGUUACAGCGUCCGACUGUUACCAAGCGGUUGAUCGGAAGGUCGUGAGUUCGAGCCUCACCGGGGCAG